AAAGCCUGCAAGGGGAGCCUUUGGCUGAGAGUGGACAUUUUCUAUGUUCUGACCCUUUGAACCUGUCAGUUAGCGCUGGCGUAGGGAUUGUGGACUUUUUGAUGG
rnacentral:ncRNA from 1 species